GAUGAAGAACGUAGCGAAAUGCGAUACGUAAUGUGAAUUGCAGAAUUCAGUGAAUCAUCGAAUCUUUGAACGCAUAUUGCGCUCUCUGGUAUUCCGGAGAGCAUGCUUGUUUGAGUAUCAGUAAACACCUCAACUUCCAUAUCUUUUUUGAAAUGGGAGUUGGACUUGAGUGAUCCCAACGCUUUUCCUCACCGAAAAGUGGCGGGUUACUUGAAAUGCAGGUGCAGCUGGACUUUUCUCUGAGCUAUAAGCAUAUCUAUUUAGUCUGCCUAAAAAAUAGAUUAUUACCUUUGCUGCAGCUAACAUAAAGGAGAUUAGUUCUUGUGCUGACUGAUGCAGGAUUCACAAAGACAGGCUUCGGCCGACUUUGUAAACUCGAUCUCAAAUCAAGUAAGACUACCCGCUGAACUUAAGCAUAUCAAUAAGCGGAGGA
rnacentral:misc_RNA from 1 species